rnacentral:lncRNA from 10 species
CCUUUGUCCCGUGUGCUCUGGAGAUUGCAUCCCACGCAGGCAGCCCCCUUCCGUACAAGUAAAGUGGUCUCGCUGAGAAAUUUUCUAAGUGCUGGUUUCUCUUUGCGGGACCGACUCGCCGCCCCCAAAUAUCCCAUUUGGAUCCCAUUCUGUUUCAGGAGAGGCUGGCGGUUACCUUUCUUGGGGAGACGCGUCCGACUGCUUCAUUGUGGGGGCCUCAGGAGCGGAGGAUCGGGUCCCGCCCGAGGUGACGCGUAAACCCAGACUCUCAGCAACGCGGGUAGGAAGGACCCUUGAAGUUCCGCGGCGACCACGUCGGCUGAAACCAGCAGCCCAGGACAAGUGGACCAGCCAGCAAGACCCAGACCAUCCAAACCGGCUGAUCCUACGACAGGACCCAGAUGCCAGUGAAAGUGACCACAGCCCUGCUCUAGUCACCCCGGAAGCUGACCAGUCUACGCACGGCCGAAGCUUCGUCAAGGAAGUAAAUGUAGUUAGAAAUCUUAAGCCCAGUAAUUUUCCUUGUCAUCUUAAUUGUUUUACUAUUAACCUGUCGCUUUGCUCAACCCCCUCCUCUGGGCAAACAUCUCUUGUCCAUCCUAGGUACAAACAUGCUACUCUUCCCUUUGUUCUUGCUGCUCUCGCUAGAUCUAUGUCAGAAGGAGGGAUAUGCGGAGAGUUUAAUUUAACUAAUUGUUGCCUAAAAAUCGAUGACAAUGAGGAGGACG